rnacentral:rRNA from 1 species
AGAGUUUGAUCAUGGCUCAGGAUGAACGCUGGCGGCGUGCCUAACACAUGCAAGUCGAACGAGAAGCUAACUUCUGAUUCUUUCGGGAUGAUGAGGUUAGCAGAAAGUGGCGAACGGGUGAGUAACGCGUGGGUAAUCUACCCUGUAAGUGGGGGAUAACCCUCCGAAAGGAGGGCUAAUACCGCAUAAUAUCUUCACUUCUACAAGAAGAGAAGAUUAAAGAUGGCCUCUAUACUAUGCUAUCGCUUCAGGAUGAGCCUGCGUCCUAUUAGUUAGUUGGUGGGGUAAUGGCCUACCAAGACCACAAUGGGUAGCCGGUCUGAGAGGAUGUACGGCCACACUGGGACUGAGAUACGGCCCAGACUCCUACGGGAGGCAGCAGUGGGGAAUAUUGCGCAAUGGGGGAAACCCUGACGCAGCGACGCCGCGUGGAUGAUGAAGGCCCUUGGGUUGUAAAAUCCUGUUCUGGGGGAAGAAAGCUUAAGAGUCUAAUAAACCCUUAAGCCUGACGGUACCCCAAGAGAAAGCUCCGGCUAAUUAUGUGCCAGCAGCCGCGGUAAUACAUAAGGAGCAAGCGUUAUCCGGAAUUAUUGGGCGUAAAGAGCUCGUAGGCGGUCUUAAAAGUCAGGUGUGAAAUUAUCAGGCUCAACCUGAUAAGGUCAUCUGAAACUUUAAGACUUGAGGAUAGAAGAGGAAAGUGGAAUUCCCGGUGUAGCGGUGAAAGGCGUAGAUAUCGGGAGGAACACCAGUGGCGAAGGCGGCUUUCUGGUCUAUCUCUGACGCUGAGGAGCGAAAGCUAGGGGAGCAAACGGGAUUAGAUACCCCGGUAGUCCUAGCUGUAAACGAUGGAUACUAGGUGUGGGAGGUAUCGACCCCUUCUGUGCCGCAGCUAACGCAUUAAGUAUCCCGCCUGGGGAGUACGGUCGCAAGGCUGAAACUCAAAUGAAUUGACGG